rnacentral:rRNA from 1 species
GCAGUCGAGCGACAGAUAGGAGCUUGCUCCUUUGACGUUAGCGGCGGACGGGUGAGUAACACGUGGGUAACCUACCUAUAAGACUGGAAUAACUCCGGGAAACCGGGGCUAAUGCCGGAUAACAUUUAGAACCGCAUGGUUCUAAAGUGAAAGAUGGUUUCGCUAUCACUUAUAGAUGGACCCGCGCCGUAUUAGCUAGUUGGUAAGGUAACGGCUUACCAAGGCAACGAUACGUAGCCGACCUGAGAGGGUGAUCGGCCACACUGGAACUGAGACACGGUCCAGACUCCUACGGGAGGCAGCAGUAGGGAAUCUUCCGCAAUGGGCGAAAGCCUGACGGAGCAACGCCGCGUGAGUGAUGAAGGUCUUCGGAUCGUAAAACUCUGUUAUUAGGGAAGAACAAAUGUGUAAGUAACUGUGCACGUCUUGACGGUACCUAAUCAGAAAGCCACGGCUAACUACGUGCCAGCAGCCGCGGUAAUACGUAGGUGGCAAGCGUUAUCCGGAAUUAUUGGGCGUAAAGCGCGCGUAGGCGGUUUCUUAAGUCUGAUGUGAAAGCCCACGGCUCACCCGUGGAGGGUCAUUGGAAACUGGGAAACUUGAGUGCAGAAGAGGAAAGUG